GAAGCUUGCUUCCUAUGAAAUCGAGUGGCAAACGGGUGAGUAACGCGUAAACAACCUGCCCUUCGGAUGGGGAUAACAGCCGGAAACGGCUGCUAAUACCGAAUACGAUCUUUUCGUCGCAUGACGGAAAGAAGAAAGGAUGGCCUCUAUACAAAGCUAUCGCCGAAGGAGGGGUUUGCGUCUGAUUAGCUGGUUGGAGGGGUAACGGCCCAACAAGGCGAUGAUCAGUAGCCGGUCUGAGAGGAUGAACGGCCACAUUGGGACUGAGACACGGCCCAGACUCCUACGGGAGGCAGCAGUGGGGAAUCUUCCGCAAUGGACGAAAGUCUGACGGAGCAACGCCGCGUGAGUGAAGAAGGUCUUCGGAUUGUAAAGCUCUGUUAUACGGGACGAAAAAGACGGAUGCCAACAGUAUCCGUCCGUGACGGUACCGUAAGAGAAAGCCACGGCUAACUACGUGCCAGCAGCCGCGGUAAUACGUAGGUGGCAAGCGUUGUCCGGAAUUAUUGGGCGUAAAGGGCGCGCAGGCGGUUCGGUAAGUCUGUCUUAAAAGUGCGGGGCUUAACCCCGUGAGGGGACGGAAACUGUCGAACUUGAGUGUCGGAGAGGAAAGCGGAAUUCCUAGUGUAGCGGUGAAAUGCGUAGAUAUUAGGAGGAACACCGGUGGCGAAAGCGGCUUUCUGGACGACAACUGACGCUGAAGCGCGAAAGCGUGGGGAGCAAACAG
rnacentral:rRNA from 1 species